GUGAGGAAUAUUGCGCAAUGGAGGCAACUCUGACGCAGCCAUGCCGCGUGCAGGAAGAAGGCGCUACGCGUUGUAAACUGCUUUUAACCGGGAAGAAACCCCAGGACGUGUCCUGGGUUGACGGUACCGGAGGAAUAAGCACCGGCUAACUUCGUGCCAGCAGCCGCGGUAAUACGAAGGGUGCAAGCGUUAUCCGGAUUCAUUGGGUUUAAAGGGUGCGUAGGCGGAGCGAUAAGUCAGUGGUGAAAUCCUGCAGCUUAACUGUAGACUUGCCAGUGAUACUGGCGCUCUUGAGUGCGCUUGAAGUGGGCGGAAUGUGCCGUGUAGCGGUGAAAUGCUUAGAUAUGGCACAGAACACCAAUUGCGAAGGCAGCUCACUAAGGCGAUACUGACGCUGAGGCACGAAAGCGUGGGGAUCGAACAGGAUUAGAAACCCUAGUAGUCC
rnacentral:rRNA from 1 species